rnacentral:rRNA from 1 species
GAACGAGAAAGCGGGGGCAACUCCGUGAGUAAAGUGGCGACCGGGUGAGUAACACGUGACUAACCUGCCCUUGAGUGGGGGAUAACCUCGGGAAACCGGGGCUAAUACCGCAUAAUUUCAUGAGGUGAAAAUCCUUAUGAUCAAAGGAGCAAUUCGCUGAAGGAGGGGGUCUCGGCUGAUUAGCUAGUUGGUGAGGUAACGGCCCACCAAGGCAAUGAUCAGUAGCCGGCCUGAGAGGGCGCACGGCCACACUGGGACUGAGACACGGCCCAGACUCCUACGGGAGGCAGCAGUGGGGAA